ACCUUAGUUGACCUUCAGGCUUUAACCAAUUGGGGAGAAGGAUUUUUUAUGAGGUGUAUGAAGAACCCAAAACACCUGUUGGGUAGAACAUUUUGCAAUAUCACAGAAGGAGGAAUCAAGACAUGCCUAGUGGUUCUGAAAGCAGGAGUCAAAGAAUGAACAUGAAAUACACAAAACAAUGGCAGAAGUCAGGGCUGGAAAAGGUGACCUGGAGAGUCUGGAGGUAUUGAGGGCCAAAAGACUGUGCCUUGGAUUGAAUUUUGCUCACCUUGCGCUACAGUGAAAGGUAAGUAGUCUCCUCCAAGGUUACAAUCAGGAGAACCUGCCCGAAACUGCCUUUUAACUCGUAGUCAUAUAGUCAUUGAGCAGGCCCGUA